GGUGUUGGAGGAGAGGAAUAAGUAUGCGGGGAACAAAUUUGAUGAUGAUGUGUUUGAUGUAAAUGAUUAUAGUGAAGUUAAAGAGGAGUGGGAGGAGAGGAAUGACAAUGCGGGGAACAAAUUUGACGAUGAUGUGCCGGACGAAGACGAACUAAUAAUAACGGGAAUUGUAGAUUAUUUUGAUGAUUAUGAUGGCAAAUAAGUUACAUCCGAUAAACCGAGGACUUGAAAACCAUCACAAUAUUUGUGCCCUCCUUACACCGAGUUGCACACGACACCGAAGCAAAAAAGAAGAACAAAAAAGAAGGUUGAUAUCAAAUCAACAAGCCCCGUUCCUCCUCCAGUUUUUGGUGUUGCUCAUGACUUCUCCAUGUUGCGCCUGCAACCUUACGUAGCAGGCGGUGAGGUUGUCAUCCAAAAUUAUAUAUUUCAUUCAUAUGAUGUCCAGCAUCGUUUGUUUAAUUUCGUGUUAGAUAGAGAUUUUUGGAGCUCAUUGUUUGGGCAUACACACGGCGGAUGGUUGGAGUCAGCGCAUAUAACCAUUUGGUACCGACUAUUGAUGGAGAGACGGUUUGAGAGCGACCGACAUACAAUAAUGCCUCCAAAUUUUUUUGUUUCUCAUGCUUUGGAAGAAGGACAGGACUGGAGGGCGUUUAUGGUUGGUAUUGCUACGUACCCCAACUUCAUGGUUGCUUGGUGGGAUG